rnacentral:pre_miRNA from 1 species
CAAAUACUCCCUCCGUCCAGAAAUACUUGUCAUCAAAAUGGAUAAAAGGAAAUGUAUCUAGACAUAUUUUAGUUUUAGAUACAUCUCUUUUUAUCCAUUUUGAUGACAAGUAUUUUCGGACGGAGGGAGUAUUUA